rnacentral:rRNA from 1 species
UACGUAGGGUGCAAGCGUUAAUCGGAAUUACUGGGCGUAAAGCGUGCGCAGGCGGUUGUGCAAGACAGAUGUGAAAUCCCCGGGCUUAACCUGGGAACUGCAUUUGUGACUGCACGGAUAGAGUGCGGCAGAGGGGGAUGGAAUUCCGCGUGUAGCAGUGAAAUGCGUAGAUAUGCGGAGGAACACCGAUGGCGAAGGCAAUCCCCUGGGCCUGCACUGACGCUCAUGCGCGAAAGCGUGGGGAGCAAACAGG